GUGCUCACUUCAGCAGCACAUAUACUAAAAUUGGUAUGAUACAGCGAUUAGCAUGGCCCCUGUGCAAGGAUAAUGCACAAAUUCGUGAAGCAUUCCAUAAUUUU